rnacentral:rRNA from 1 species
CGCGGCCUAUCAGCUUGUUGGUGGGGUGAUGGCCUACCAAGGCGACGACGGGUAGCCGGCCUGAGAGGGCGACCGGCCACACUGGGACUGAGACACGGCCCAGACUCCUACGGGAGGCAGCAGUGGGGAAUCUUGCGCAAUGGGCGAAAGCCCGACGCAGCGACGCCGCGUGAGGGAUGACGGCCUUCGGGUUGUAAACCUCUUUCAGCCCUGACGAAGCGAAAGUGACGGUAGGGGCAGAAGAAGCACCGGCCAACUACGUGCCAGCAGCCGCGGUAAUACGUAGGGUGCAAGCGUUGUCCGGAAUUAUUGGGCGUAAAGAGCUCGUAGGUGGCCUGUCGCGUCGGCUGUGAAAACUCGGGGCUCAACUCCGAGCUUGCAGUCGAUACGGGCAGGCUAGAGUGCGGCAGGGGAGACUGGAAUUCCUGGUGUAGCGGUGAAAUGCGCAGAUAUCAGGAGGAACACCGGUGGCGAAGGCGGGUCUCUGGGCCGAUACUGACACUGAGGAGCGAAAGCGUGGGGAGCGAACAGGAUUAGAUACCCUGGUAGUCCACGCCGUAAACGUUGGGCGCUAGGUGUGGGAUCCCUUCCACGGGUUCCGUGCCGCAGCU